rnacentral:sRNA from 16 species
UCAUCCGUGAGGAGGGCUUCUUCACGGAGUGGAAACAAGGAAACACGUCCAACGAGAAGCCGAGA